CUGGGUACUAACUUUUUUUUUUUGCGGGAACAGCAGGGGAGGCCCCUAAGAGCAUCUCCAACAACUUGGUAAAUCAAGUUGCUAUUCUUAUAAAUUUGACAAAAUCACAAAAAUAUCUCUCCAACAACUUGUUAAAUCAAUUUGCUGCUUAUCAAACUUUCUAUCCACCGGUGCCGCGUGCGGAUAUUUCCGCACUGCGACGCGACUUGCUAUCGCGCGCGGACGGAGUCUCGCGGCCGCCCGCUGCUUGCGCUCGCCCUCGCCCCGCUGCUCGCCCUCGCAGCCCGCCCUCGCCCACGCCUCGCAGCUCGCGACGAACCGCGGCGGACGAACAGCUGACAGCGGUGGACGACGGCCCGCGCAGCUCGCCCUCGCCCACGCCUUGCAGCUCGCGACGAACCGCGGUGGACGACGGCCCACGCAGCUCACCCUCGCUCCACUGCUCGCCCUCGCCCUUGCCGCUCGCGACGGACGGCUGCCGACGGCCCGCGCAGCUCGCCCUCGCCCCGCUGCUCGCCCUCGCCCUUGCCCUUGCCGCUCGCGACAGACGGCUGCCGACGGACGGCGGACGGCGGCCCACGCAGCUCGCCCUCGCCCCGCCGCUUCGCGAGGGACGGUGGCAGAUGGACGGCGGACGGCGGCCCGUGCUCGCCCUCGCCCUGCAGCUUCGCGACGACGGUGGCAGAUGGACGGCGGAGCGGACGGAACAAAGACGAUGGGAUCGAGACACAAAUAGAUUACACUUUCCAGACUUUUCUAAAAAUAUGACAGACACAUAGAGUUAUAGAUAUGUCCUUGGUUGAUUUCAGGAAAGUUCAGGGACUAAUCUGCAAAGUAGUCUGGUUGCGUUAAUCAAAUUGGAAUAGCAAAUUGUUGGAGAGAACACUUUUUUCAUUUGCCAAACAAGAUAGUAACUUGCCAAAUCACAAGAUUUGACAAGUCAAUUUUACUAAGUUGUUGGAGAUGCUCUUACAACUUAGAAUAUAAGGCUUGCAAAGCCCAAAGGCAGAAAAAAAAAGAACAUUAAGGUAUAUUCUCUAACCACAAUUCUAGAAGAAGCUUUACAGUACUUUGCUUAUCCUUGAUGCAAACCAGGCUGAGCUCAUUUUUAAAAUCAUCUAUCAAGUGUAAACGCUUGUGCCACCAAAGAUAGUUUUGUUUCUAGUUGUCCAAAUGAUCCAGCACGAAGUUAUGAUGAUCUGCAGCUGCCAAAGUUGUUUCUAGCUUCAAUGACCAUGUCUAGAACCUGGGUUCUAACUUGUUUAAUUAGGGUGUGUUUUUGGUAGUGAUUCUACUGUUUCUAGAGAAGAACUAUAUGGACAAUCUCUACAAAAAGAUUAUUUUUUUAACGCAACUACAAAAAGGUUAUGGGGUUUUAGAGUCAGAGUUGGAAAAGACUUAUAGAAUUUCUCCACUAAAACUAUAAACCAGAAAAUUCUUCUAUUUCACAGGUGAAUCAGGAAUCAAUUUCUCUCUAAGAUUCUUUUUUGAAGAACCAAAUCUCUGCCUAACAGACCUAAUUUUCAUCAUUAUUCUUUUUUUCAUAAGUCGAUGGGGGAGUGUGUGGGGGUGAGAGAGAGAGAGAGAGAGAGAGAGAGAGAGAGAG
rnacentral:lncRNA from 1 species